rnacentral:tRNA from 1 species
AAGCCUGUGGCCUAAUAGAUAAGGCACUAGCAUCCAAUGCCAGGGAUUGUGGGUUCAAGUCCCAUCUGGGGUG